AUCUUGUCAGCCAAAGAAAAAAAAAACCCCACCCAACAGAAGACAAACAGAACAGGACACAAAAACAGAGCCGCUGAAGUAAUGCAUGAGUGGGGCUCUGGCAUCCAAACCUCAGGGAGAGCAAUGGGAGCUCCCCUCUUUGUUUUAUCAUUGCUUCCCCCAUCUCUUCAUUCAAGAAGAAAGAGU